GGUUGUAUUAAUAGACAUACAGUAGCCAUAAUAAAGAAGAUAAACGUUCCCCCAUCUUCUAUAACCUAAAUGAGAAAGGAAUUGGUGAUGGUUAGCCUGAAGAAAGAAGGGAUUGGUGGAAGCACGGUGACAUUAGAACAGCAUCAUAAACAUAUCUGUAGCAUGGGACAAUUGACCUGCCUAGAAGACGACUGGGCCAGGAGCAUGACAUAAUUUCAAGUCAGUUGAAGAAAAUAGAAAAAGAACUGCUGAGUAGACGCACUGGUCCAAGAACGGUGAAAGACAUGUAAAGCAGAUGUAAACCCAACAGCUGAAGAAGAGUUGCCCAACUCCGCCAGCCUAGAUCAAAUUGCAGUCAAAUGUACACCCUUGAGCAUGGGAAUAAAUUCACAUUUUUGUAAAUCAUGA
rnacentral:antisense_RNA from 1 species